rnacentral:lncRNA from 1 species
AGCCAGUCUACCUUUGUAAUUUAUGCUUCUUUAACGUGAAAGAGUUGGAGCCAUCAACUGCUCAGGUUGUAGAAAAAUGGGAGAGAGGAGGCAGGUUUCUCUCUUCCUAGCUGGGGCAGCCAUGGGAAGGGUCGGGGUACAAAGAAAUAUAUUUUGCCCGGCUCCAGGGACGAGAGGAAGGUCAUCUUAUCCUACCCUCCCUCCAUCGGGUAUAUGAAGCAGUAAUACAUAGAAUUUUCCUUUUAUCAUUUAAAACAAUAACAACAGGAAACAUUGGAUGCUGCUUCUCUGUUAGAGCUAGAUGCUGAGCACCAUUUGUGAGGAGAUGUGUGUAGAUUUUGUAGCACAUAUUCAGGGUCAGGAAAGAGAAUGUCAGGUGAUUAGGAACAAAUGAUCCAGUGUUGAGUGAGUCGGGAGAAGGCCCCAGGCCCAAGAAGACAAAGCCUCUGAGUUAAUUCCCAGAACUGGCUGAGGCCCUCUCUAGUGAUAGGAUGUUUUUCCUUAAAAGUCACUUUUUGGUUUUUUGUUGUGUUUUCCAGAUAAAGCCUUAGUUAGUAGCCUCUAAAUAUCAACUAUGCAGAUAAAUAUACAUGUUUUCCACAUUCUUCCUCUUUUUUUCAUUCUUUAAAUAACAGAUGUUAAUUAAGACUUCUACCCAAAGAAAUAAGGCAUAAGGGUUUUGUUGAAUGUGUGUUUGUUCCUCUCGGGAAAAUUAAUGGAAACAUAAAAAUAGAGAUAUU